UUUUCUACAAUAAUAUCAGUAUUUCAAUUAAAUCGAAAAGUAGUUUUAGAGAACUUACAGGAUCAGUGCAGGAGACUUAGUAAACCACAUAUUUAGAAAUAGCACCUCAAAAUAUUUUUUCACUAUUUGAAACAAUUCUUUUUGAAAUUUAUGUUUUUAGGAAAAACCCAAAUCUAUAGUCGAGUUUUGCAACCUAGCUCUGAU
rnacentral:lncRNA from 1 species